UAUUCGAGCAUUUUACUGUCCUUUUAGUUCUAUCUCUCAACAUGGAAAAUACAAUAAGACAGUAAAAACAAAAGUUAGUGAUAGCUAUUACAUAGUGAAAGAAAAUAAGACAUUCACAUAGUGAUAGCUAUUUACUGUCCUUUCUCACCAUAAUCUCAACUCUAUUCCAUUAUUCAAACAUUCUACCAUCCUUUUAGUUCUACCAUAUGUGAAUGUCUUCAU
rnacentral:lncRNA from 1 species